rnacentral:rRNA from 1 species
GGUAGCAGGCCUUCGGGCGCUGACGAGUGGCGGACGGGUGAGUAACGCGUAGGAAUCUGCCUCAUAGUGGGGGACAACGUGGGGAAACCCACGCUAAUACCGCAUACGCCCUACGGGGGAAAGCGGGGGCUCUUCGGACCUCGCGCUAUGAGAUGAGCCUGCGUUAGAUUAGCUAGUUGGUAGGGUAAAGGCCUACCAAGGCGACGAUCUAUAGCUGGUCUGAGAGGACGAUCAGCCACACUGGGACUGAGACACGGCCCAGACUCCUACGGGAGGCAGCAGUGGGGAAUAUUGGACAAUGGGCGCAAGCCUGAUCCAGCAAUACCGCGUGUGUGAAGAAGGCCUUAGGGUUGUAAAGCACUUUCAAUUGGGAGGAAAACCUGCCGGUCAAUACCCGGUAGCUUGACAUUACCUUUAGAAGAAGCACCGGCUAACUCCGUGCCAGCAGCCGCGGUAAUACGGAGGGUGCGAGCGUUAAUCGGAAUUACUGGGCGUAAAGCGUGCGUAGGCGGUUCGUUAAGUCAGAUGUGAAAGCCCUGGGCUCAACCUGGGAACGGCAUUUGAAACUGGCGGACUAGAGUUUAGUAGAGGGGAGUGGAAUUUCAGGUGUAGCGGUGAAAUGCGUAGAUAUCUGAAGGAACACCAGUGGCGAAGGCGACUCCCUGGACUAGAACUGACGCUGAGGUACGAAAGCGUGGGUAGCAAACAGGAUUAGAUACCCUGGUAGUCCACGCCGUANACGAUGUCGACUAGCCGUUGGUCCUAUUUACAGGAUUAGUGGCGCAGCUAACGCAUUAAGUCGACCGCCUGGGGAGUACGGCCGCAAGGUUAAAAC